CGCGUAGGCGGCCUUCUAAGUCGAACGUGAAAUCCCCGGGCUCAACCCGGGAACUGCGUCCGAGACUGGCAGGCUCGAAUCCGGGAGAGGGAUGUGGAAUUCCAGGUGUAGCGGUGAAAUGCGUAGAUAUCUGGAGGAACACCGGUGGCGAAGGCGGCAUCCUGGACCGGUAUUGACGCUGAGGCGCGAAAGCCAGGGGAGCAAACG
rnacentral:rRNA from 1 species